ACCAGAUGGUGAGCUUGUUCUAAGGAGAAUAUUAUGUUCUUGUCAUUGACUUCAUUAUAAUAAUGAUACCUGAGACCUUCCCCAGGGUUCUGAGUGGCAGGUGCCUGGAAGCCCUGCCUCUCUCUCUCUCUCUUGGAAGCGGAAGUGUGCCGGCCUUGGAUCCUUCAGGAGAACCAGCGAUACAAGGGAAGAAAUGGAUUUCCACAGGUGGGACAGGGGAGGAUAGAGCACUCCAAGCAGAAGAAAUGUCAUGUGAAAAGGCCCUGAAACUUGGAAGAGAGGGAUAGAAAAAGCCUGUGAUCAAGGGCCCAGAAGGACAUCUUUGCAACUCUUACCAUGAGGUGGAGGAGCAAAAGAAAUGACCUGAUAU
ensembl:lncRNA